rnacentral:lncRNA from 1 species
CUGGUGGUAAGGGUAGGUAAAAUACUCGACUCGACCCGACCUGAUCCGAAAAAAAAUCAGGUUCAGAUCGGAUCGGAUUGUGAAUAAAACUCGAAUGGGUGCAUUUGUGUCAACCUUAUCGGAUCAUGAUCAGAUUGGGUUGACCCGAUCGGGUUGACACAAAAUAAAAAAAAUUAAACCCCAAAUACACAUCACACAUACUGGAACACGAUCUGUUUGGGAGAGGUACUGUUUGGGAUAAAUAUGUCGACGACACCAGGAAUGACGAGCAGAUAUCGGAUGGCAGAGUUCUGCGAACCGGUGUGUUCCGUAAAAGCCUGGUGCGCGGAAGAACAGGAGCAGAAAUAUCCUGCUCGUCCACGAUGUUGUCAUCCGCGAGGCCAAUUUCCUAUAAGAGGCAUACGGCUAUUCCGGCUAGAGGUCGAUAGGCGAGGAGACCCGGUCGACGGCAGUUGGCAAGACAUGCUCUCCAGCCCGAGAAUUUAGGCAUGACAGCCACGCUUUCCCCUGAGCCGUGGUGUAACACGCAAGGUCUCACAGAACCACGACAGCCACGUUUUCCCCUGAACCGUGGCGUAACACGCAAGAUCUCACAGAACCACGACAGCCGCGCUUUCCCCUGAACCGUGGCGUAACACGCAAGAUCUCACAGAACCACGACAGCCACGCUUUCCCCUGAACCGUGGCGUAACACGCAAGAUCUCACAGAACCACGACAGCCACGCUUUCCCCUGAACCAUGGCGUAACACGCAAGAUCCCACGUUUGCCCAUAACGCAGUAGUCAGAGCCCCAGACCGUCUCGAGAAAAGCGAAAAACGGGGAUUCAGAGGAAGCCUAUAAAAAGGUAGCCAACGAAGGUAAAAGGGUUGGCAUUUUUGAGAUAAAAGAAAAAAACCACGAAAAAGCCAUAAGACCCGUGGCAAGCGUUCCCCGAACCUUGAUAUCUGACUUGAGCGUCGGAGGGUUUGCGCCGGGAGAACAACCGGCGUACUCUGACUUGUCUGUGUGUGCAGGGAUAUCUGGAGAAGAAGCAUUACUAGGAGACCUCCUGGUCGUGGGGAAGUUGAUCGAGCAGAGAUCCUGGUCGUAUAACGAGGAGAACCGGAAUCUCGCAUCAACAUUUUGGCGCCGUCUGUGGGGAACCAGAGCAAAAAGCUUCUGUUGAUAGCAAGAAGAGGGGUGAAGUAAGCGAAAAGCAAUGGAGACAGGAGGAAGUAGUGCACAAGGGGGUGAUAUGAGGCUUAACGAUUCCGUGACGCUGAGGGAAAUAGUCAGCGAAGCACGGGAAAAAGUCAUGUUCGACUGGAUGGAACGGAUGGAAAAGCAGAUGGAGACCUUGACAACCAUCCUGCAUGAGCUGCGGAGCGAGCGAAGGGUAACCCAAGAGGGAAGGGUGAGAGGUGGUGGAGUGGCACCAGGUCCCGAUAGUGCGGGGAGAAGUCAAACCACAGGGAGACUUGGUGGUGAGAGGGGUAACGUACCUCUACGGGGAGAAUUUCAUAGAGCAAGAGAGCGGUCCUCGGCAAGACAGACUUGUGACGCGGACGACGGGGUGGUGAAUGCAGAGGAAACAGAGUUGAGGCAACACUUGCAAGAUGUAGAGCAAGAGCGGGAUCAAGUUGCAGCACGUGACCCUGGUCGUGCAGGGCAGCUGGAGGAGGAAGUGCGCAGACUAGCGCAGAUAAUUGACGACAUGCAAGGGAGGAACAGAGCCCCUGGUUGGAGGAUAAUGCUGGACGGAGAAUCGCCGCUCGCAGCGGAGAUCAUGAGGGCAGUUAUUCUGAGAGAUUUCCGCCUUCCCGACCUCAGAUACUCGGGAAGAACUGAUCCGCUGAUGCACAUAGAGCGCUUCAACGACAUAACUGGGGUACAAGGACUAUCUCAACCCCAAAGGUGCAGGGUGUUCCCACUAUCCCUCGAGGGACGUGCACGAGAAUGGUACAGGAAACUUCCUCGGGGCAGCAUUAAAACCUUCGAGCAGAUGUGCCAGGAAUUCGCAGAGCAGUUCAGUGGGGCGAUGUCACCGGAAGAUGACAUGAUGGAGCUGAAAAGCAUGAAACAGGGGGAGCAAGAAACCCUUCGGGAAUUCAUCAAGAGGUUUCAUCGGGCUGUCCUCGACUUGGGAGCCUUCAACCACCCUUAGGCGUUAAGGGGAUUGAAAGAAGGGGUGAAGAUAGGAAGGCUAUGGUACAAUUUGAGAAGCCCAACUAUUCAAACGUAUGCGGCCGCAUACGAGCAGGCUAAAAGAGACAUCGAGAUUGAAGAGGAGAAGGCUGCGCGGAUCAAGACAGACCAGUUAGAAGGGUUGGGGAGGAAAGAGAAGAAAGCAUUACCAGGGAAUGGGCCGAUCAGGAGAAGGGACCACCAGGCCUCCGGUAGUGGAGCAGGAGGUAGGGUCACCGCUUACCAGCCUCAUCAGAGGCCACCACAGUAUCAGCACAGCAGGGCGCAACCUGCUCGUUCCCCAGCUAGGGAACCUUGGACAAGAAAUGAUCCGGCAUCUGGUGGUCUUCAUCAACAUUCCCACGGUGGCAGGACGAGCAGGCCAGAAGUACUUCCACCGCCCCCAACUCAGAGCGGGGCAAACAGAGAAAGAGCGGUGCAUCUGAUCGACCAGAACCAGGACUAUGAGCGGUACACUCCCUUGAAGAUGUCCCUGGAUGAGGUAUACGAGACCAUAAAGGAUCGAGGGCUGCUGCACCUCCCUACACCAAUAACAAAGCUACCCAACAGGAGGGAUAGAGGACGUUAUUGUAAGUUCCAUGGCACCCAUGGCCAUACCACAACAGAGUGUAGAGAUCUCAAGACCCAGGUCGAAGAUUUGGUGAGAAAUCGGUACCUGGACGAGUUUAUGGAUGGGACUUUUCCGAUGGUGGCCACGACAGAUGAAGGGGAGCAGAGUGAUAGAAUCUUGAGGCGCGAGCAGCCCGCAGUAAGGGUGAUAGCUGGGGGCCCAACGUUGGCCGGAGAUUCAAACAGAUCGAGAAAAAAUUAUGCUAGGUACGCCAUGACCAGUAAAGAGGUACUCCUCAACACCCCAGCAGCCAAACGAGCAAGGGUCAGGCAAGUGCCAAUCAUGUGGACGGAUGAGGAUGAGGAAGGGAUUCUAUACCCCCACGAGGAUGCCUUAGUCAUUAGGGCUACGGUCGCUAGCAAGAAGUUUGACCGGAUACUGGUUGAUACAGGGAGCUCAGUUGAUGUGUUAUUUAAGUCAACCCUGGAAGAGAUGGGAAUAGCCGACCGAAAGUUGGAAUACACCAACACUUCCUUGAAGGGGUUCGGAGGAGGGAAGCUGAUUCCUCUGGGCGUGGUCGAACUGCCCAUCACAAUUGGGAGCCCCCCGACAGAAAGAACAGUGAUACUGGACUUUGUCGUAGUGGAUGAGGAAGGUCCUUACCAGAUGAUCUUAGGUCGGCCAUUUUUAAGGAUGAGCAAAGCGGUGUUGUCCAACCAUUAUCUGGCUCUGAAGUACCGGGUGAAUGGGGUAGUAGGAGUGGUACGAGGAGACCAGAGGAUCGCAAGAAGCUACUACUCCUCGGCAGCAAGGGAGGCAAUGCAGAUAACGUCCCUCGAUACCCGAGUGGAAAACAAGACUGGCAGACAAGAACCUGUAGAGGAUCUGGAAACAGUGAGCAUGGGACCAGAGAACCCAGGAAAGACGAUCAGAAUCGGGUCCAGACUUAAGAGAGAGCAAAAGCAGGAGUUGGUGAAAUGCUUACAUGAAGACAUGCCGGGGAUUGACCCUGAGGUAACGUGUCAUAAGCUGGCAAUAAAGAAAGGUGCUCGGGCAGUAAGGCAGAAGAGGGGGUGCUUCAACCAGGAGAGGUAUGAGGCUGUAAAUGACGAGGUGGAGAAGCUCUUGAGAGCAGGGUUCAUUCGGAAAGUCAGUUACCCAGAAUGGAUAUCAAAUGUGGUGCUGGUAAAGAAGGCAAACGGCAAGUGGAGGAUGUGUGUGGAUUUCACAGACCUCAACAAGGCGUGCCCAAAAGACAGCUUCCCUUUACCAAGGAUCGAUCAGCUAGUAGAUUCAACGGCUGGACAUGGUCUGCUUAGCUUCAUGGACGCAUUCUCGGGAUACAACCAGAUCCCCAUGUACGAGCAGGAUGAGGAGAGCACGGCUUUCAUCACUAACCAAGGUUUGUUCUGUUACAGGGUGAUGCCCUUCGGUCUCAAGAAUGCUGGGGCCACCUAUCAAAGGCUGGUGAACAAAGUCUUUAAGCCGUUGAUCGGGAAAACCAUGGAGGUGUACGUGGAUGACAUGAUUACCAAGUCCAAAAUCCCGAAGGAACACGUCAGACACCUCGAGGAGACAUUCGAGCUUCUGAGGAAGUAUAAGAUGAAGCUCAACCCGGAGAAGUGUGCUUUUGGGGUCGAGUAAGGGAAAUUCCUGGGAUUCAUGGUGAGCCAUAGGGGGAUUGAAGCAAAUCCCGAGAAAAUCCAGGCGAUUGUGCAAAUGACGUCUCCUCGUAACCUGAAGGAGAUGCAGAGCCUCACGGGGAGGUUGGCGGCGUUGAACAGAUUCAUAUCCAAGGCUACAGAUAAAUGUCAGCCAUUCUUUCAAGUGAUAAGGAGGGGAAAGAAAACAGAAUGGACCCCAGAAUGCGAGGAAGCCUUCCGAAACUUGAAGCAAUACUUACAGCAAGCUCCGCUGCUGUCCACACCGAGGGAUGGGGACAAGUUGUAUCUGUAUUUGGCGGUAUCGGAUCGGGCCGCUAGUUCUGUUCUGGUGAGAGAGGAAGAAGGAGUUCAGUAUCCGAUAUACUACACCAGCAAGGCCCUGCUCGACGCUGAGGCCAGAUACCUACCGUUGGAGAAAUGGGCACUUGCCCUUGUGGUUGCUGCUCGGAAGUUGAGGCCAUAUUUUCAAGCCUUCUCGGUCUCGGUAAUAACAAACCAGCCAUUACGUCAAACUCUGCACAAGCCAGAUGCCUCUGGUCGGCUCGUCAAGUGGGCUGUGGAGUUGAGCGAGUUCGACAUAGACUAUAAACCCCGCGCAGCGAUAAAGGCCCAGGCAAUGGCCGAUUUCGUAGCUGAAUUCACAGAGCCCGAAGUAUGCUUAGAUCAACAAGAUGCAGCUACAGGCGAUGACGAAACUCAAGUAUGGCAGAUGUCUGUGGAUGGGUCAUCAGGGGAGCGGGGUUCAGGAGCAGGGAUUGUCCUAGAAGGCCCAGAGGGGGAGGAGAUCUCUUAUGCUGUAAAGUUGGAAUUUGCAGCCACAAAUAACCAGGCAGAGUAUGAAGCCUUGAUAGCAGGUCUGGAAUUGGCUAAGGCCGUGAAAGCAGACAGAGUUAAGAUCAGAACCGAUUCCCAGCUGGUUGCGAAUCAUGUCAGUGAAAGAUUCCAACCAAGAGAGGAGAAGAUGGAACAGUACCUGAAGAUAGUCAGACGGAUGAUGGGGAAGUUCGAGGCAGUGGAGGUGAUACAAAUCCCCAGGGAGCAGAAUAGUCGAGCAGACAUUUUGGCGAGGAUGGCAGCAGUAGCCGACCCAAAAAUGCCAAAGUCGGUCCCUCUGGAGGUGAAGUCCAGCCCAAGUAUCGAGCAGAAUUUGGGGGUGUUACGGAUAGAACAAAAAUGCUCGUGGAGGGACCCGAUAGUUUCAUACCUUAGAGAUGGGGUAUUACCACCAGAUAAGCUGCGAGCUCGGAAGAUUAGAGCCCAGGUCUCGAGAUACACGAUGAUCGAUGGGGUACUGUAUCGGCGAGGAUAUACACUACCGUUCCUUCGGUGUUUGGAUGAGGACGACGCGGAUUACGUGCUGAGAGAAGUACAUGAAGGAAUUUGCGGAAAUCAUUCUGGCGGGAGGUCCCUGGCCCACAAGGUUCUAAGGCAGGGAUAUUUAUGGCCGACAAUGCACCAGGAUGCGCAAAAGAAGACCAGGGGUUGUGCAAGCUGCUAGAGUUUUGCAAAUUUCUCCAACCAACUACCAGAGAAGCUCACCUCCAUGGCCUCCCCUUGGCCAUUUGCUCAAUGGGGAAUUGAUCUGAUCGGCCCAUUGCCAAAAGGACGAGGAGCAGCAAUACAUGCAAUAGUUGCUAUAGAUUACUUCACGAAGUGGAUAGAGGUGGAAGCCCUUAGCAGGAUCACAGAGAAGAAAACAACAGACUUCGUGUGGAGAAACCUGGUCUGUCGAUACGGGAUCCCUUAUGCCUUGGUAACGGAUAAUGACAGGCAGUUCGAUAAUCACAGCUUCAGGGAUUUCUGCCAGAACCUCGGGAUAGAGCUGAAGUAUUGCUCGCCUGCUCACCCUCAAUCGAAUGGACAAGUAGAAGCAGCCAACAAGACCAUCAAGAGGCUUCUGAAAACCAGGCUCGGAGCAAAAAAGGGUGCUUGGGUUGACGAGCUGUCAGGUGUGCUAUGGGCAUACAGAACAACCCACAAAACCGCAACUGGGGAGACACCGUUCGCUUUGGCUUUCGGACAUGAAGCGGUCGUGCCGGCUGAGAUAGGAACGACCACACACCGGACAGGUCAUUUCAAUGAGCAGGAGAACGACGAGCAGAUAUGUUUGAAUCUUGAUCUGCUAACGGAAAGGAGGGAGCAAGCAGCCGAGCGAUCAGUCACUUACCAACAAAGGGUUGCUCGGUAUUAUAACCAGAAGGUGAACAUACGGCAAUUCAGGGUCGGAGACUAGGUACUGAGAAGAGUGAAUCAGAGCACCAAAGAUUCAACUCAAGGAGUGCUGGGACCGAAUUGGGAAGGGCCAUAUAGAGUCAAGCAGAUAGCGGGACCCGGAGCUUACAAGCUGGUCCGCGCGGACGGCCACGAGGUGAAACGCCCAUGGAACGCAGCACACCUCCGGAAAUACUUCCAGUAAGACUUGUUCACAUUUGAAAGCUAUUUUCGCUCAUGUUCAUUAUCGUUUAUCUUUCACGCUUUAUGUCCGAACAAUUUCAUGUAAGUCAAAUCCUGCCAUUAAUGGAACGUCGCGGAAUUUCAUUCGCUCGAAACCGAGAAAAAUCCAAGGCACGCAAAGGCUCGCCAAGUCUCAAAGCCUAUUUUAUGGCGAGACAGAAGCCAAGCAUGCCAGGAUCUGCUCGACCACGAGAAGGCGAGCAGACUCCCAAAACAUUCGAAGAAAUUCCCAAGGCAUGCAAAGGCUCGCCAAGUCUCAAAGCCUGUCUUAUGGCGAGACAGAAGCCAAGCAUGCCAGGAUCUGCUCGACCACGAGAAGGCGAGCAGACUCCAAAACAUUCAAAGAAAUUCCCAAGGCAUGCAAAGGCUCGCCAAGUCUCAAAGCCUAUCUUAUGGCGAGACAGAAACCAAGCAUGCCAGGAUCUGCUCGACCACGAGAAGGCGAGCAGACUCCCAAAACAUUCGAAGAAAUUCCCAAGGCAUGCAAAGGCUCGCCAAGUCUCAAAGCCUAUCUUAUGGCGAGACAGAAGCCAAGCAUGCCAGGAUCUGCUCGACCACGAGAAGGCGAGCAGACUCCCAAAACAUUCGAAGAAAUUCCCAAGGCAUGCAAAGGCUCGCCAAGUCUCAAAGCCUGUCUUAUGGCGAGACAGAAGCCAAGCAUGCCAGGAUCUGCUCGACCACGAGAAGGCGAGCAGACUCCAAAACAUUCGAAGAAAUUCCCAAGGCAUGCAAAGGCUCGCCAAGUCUCAAAGCCUAUCUUAUGGCGAGACAGAAACCAAGCAUGCCAGGAUCUGCUCGACCACGAGAAGGCGAGCAGACUCCCAAAACAUUCGAAGAAAUUCCCAAGGCAUGCAAAGGCUCGCCAAGUCUCAAAGCCUAUCUUAUGGCGAGACAGAAGCCAAGCAUGCCAGGAUCUGCUCGACCACGAGAAGGCGAGCAGACUCCCAAAACAUUCGAAGAAAUUCCCAAGGCAUGCAAAGGCUCGCCAAGUCUCAAAGCCUGUCUUAUGGCGAGACAGAAGCCAAGCAUGCCAGGAUCUGCUCGACCACGAGAAGGCGAGCAGACUCCAAAACAUUCAAAGAAAUUCCCAAGGCAUGCAAAGGCUCGCCAAGUCUCAAAGCCUAUCUUAUGGCGAGACAGAAACCAAGCAUGCCAGGAUCUGCUCGACCACGAGAAGGCGAGCAGACUCCCAAAACAUUCGAAGAAAUUCCCAAGGCAUGCAAAGGCUCGCCAAGUCUCAAAGCCUAUCUUAUGGCGAGACAGAAGCCAAGCAUGCCAGGAUCUGCUCGACCACGAGAAGGCGAGCAGACUCCCAAAACAUUCGAAGAAAUUCCCAAGGCAUGCAAAGGCUCGCCAAGUCUCAAAGCCUAUCUUAUGGCGAGACAGAAGCCAAGCAUGCCAGGAUCUGCUCGACCACGAGAAGGCGAGCAGACUCCCAAAACAUUCGAAGAAAUUCCCAAGGCAUGCAAAGGCUCGCCAAGUCUCAAAGCCUAUCUUAUGGCGAGACAGAAGCCAAGCAUGCCAGGAUCUGCUCGACCACGAGAAGGCGAGCAGACUCCCAAAACAUUCGAAGAAAUUCCCAAGGCAUGCAAAGGCUCGCCAAGUCUCAAAGCCUGUCUUAUGGCGAGACCGAAGCCAAGCAUGCCAGGAUCUGCUCGACCACGAGAAGGCGAGCAGACUCCCAAAACAUUCGAAGAAAUUCCCAAGGCAUGCAAAGGCUCGCCAAGUCUCAAAGCCUAUCUUAUGGCGAGACAGAAGCCAAGCAUGCCAGGAUCUGCUCGACCACGAGAAGGCGAGCAGACUCCCAAAACAUUCGAAGAAAUUCCCAAGGCAUGCAAAGGCUCGCCAAGUCUCAAAGCCUAUCUUAUGGCGAGACAGAAGCCAAGCAUGCCAGGAUCUGCUCGACCACGAGAAGGCGAGCAGACUCCCAAAACAUUCGAAGAAAUUCCCAAGGCAUGCAAAGGCUCGCCAAGUCUCAAAGCCUAUCUUAUGGCGAGACAGAAGCCAAGCAUGCCAGGAUCUGCUCGACCACGAGAAGGCGAGCAGACUCCCAAAACAUUCGAAGAAAUUCCCAAGGCAUGCAAAGGCUCCGCCAAGUCUUCAAAGCCUAUUCUUAUGGCCGAGGACCAGAAAGCAAGCAUGCCAGGAUCUGCUCGAACACCGAGAAGGCGAGCAGACUCCCCAAAACAUUCGAAGAAAUUCCCAAGGCAUGCAAAGGCUCGCCAAGUCUCAAAGCCUAUCUUAUGGCGAGACAGAAGCCAAGCAUGCCAGGAUCUGCUCGACCACGAGAAGGCGAGCAGACUCCCAAAACAUUCGAAAGAAAUUCCCAAGGCAUGCAAAGGCUCGCCAAGUCUCAAAGCCUGUCUUAUGGCGAGACAGAAGCCAAGCAUGCCAGGAUCUGCUCGACCACGAGAAGGCGAGCAGACUCCAAAACAUUCAAAGAAAUUCCCAAGGCAUGCAAAGGCUCGCCAAGUCUCAAAGCCUAUCUUAUGGCGAGACAGAAACCAAGCAUGCCAGGAUCUGCUCGACCACGAGAAGGCGAGCAGACUCCCAAAACAUUCGAAGAAAUUCCCAAGGCAUGCAAAGGCUCGCCAAGUCUCAAAGCCUAUCUUAUGGCGAGACAGAAGCCAAGCAUGCCAGGAUCUGCUCGACCACGAGAAGGCGAGCAGACUCCCAAAACAUUCGAAGAAAUUCCCAAGGCAUGCAAAGGCUCGCCAAGUCUCAAAGCCUGUCUUAUGGCGAGACAGAAGCCAAGCAUGCCAGGAUCUGCUCGACCACGAGAAGGCGAGCAGACUCCAAAACAUUCGAAGAAAUUCCCAAGGCAUGCAAAGGCUCGCCAAGUCUCAAAGCCUGUCUUAUGGCGAGACCGAAGCCAAGCGUGCCAGGAUCUGCUCGACCGCGCGAAGGCAAACCGAAUCCCAGGCAUUGAAAAAUCUUCAAAGGCAUGCGGCCAAACCAUGAGCCAAGCCGGAACCUGCUCGUCUAGACGAAGACAAGCAGAUUCUCAAACGAAAAUUAAUUCAUAAUUACAACACAAGAAAGUAAUCAAAAAAUAUUUUUAUUAAUUUGUUAAUGAUUAACAGAGGGGAUAAUCUUCAUGAACAUUGUCCACUACAAUAAAAGAAAUAUAUCAAAAAGACGGCGGAUCAGUGAGCCGAGCAGCAUCGGUUGGCUGAACCUCCUCAGGUGCGGGGGGGGGGUAUCGCCAGUUGCGUCCGGGGGGGUGCUCGCCUCGCCAACUUCAGCAGGGACUGCACGAAGAGGUGAGUUUUCCUCCUCAAUCACGAUCGGCUCUACCCCCUCGGCAUCUUUCUUGGCCGCCUCCUCAUCCAUAUGCCGAGCGACACCAGCUGCAAGGUCAUCCACCUUCAGGUCAGGGUGUUGCUUCCCGAGGACGGCCAUGAUGCAACGAUAGGAAUGCCGAAGUCCCUGGUCGUACUGGUUGUCGGCCUCCCUCUCCAAGUUCUCGACCUGAGCCCGGUGGGAGUCACGGAGAGAUUCGAGCUGAGCCUCAUACAUAGCCUUCUGCCUUUGCAGAUCCUCCUUGACCUUGGUAAGCUCCUCCUCGAGGGUAAUGGCUUUUGCUUGAGCAAGUGAUUCUUGCUCUAUCAGCUUCAGAUUCUCGAGAUUCAGCUCCGCUGCUUUCUUCUCGGCAACGUCAGCUCUGCUCGUCGCCGAUUGAAUAUCCUCCUUCAUCUUCCGGUCGUAGCGGCCAACCUUAGCCUUGUAAUAGGUGGUCAUGCAGCUGAGGUGGAAAGCGCUAUGCUGCAUGGCCCCCACCAGCUCACCCAAGGUGCGGCCGUCAAAGUCCUCCAGGUCCUUCUUGCUCACGGAUUUAGUUAACUCAUUGAGGUAAGGGACCAGAUGUUCUGCUCGGCUGUCAGGUAAGCGAGAUCGAGGCCCGACAGGAGGAGAAGAGGUAGCAGGAUCUGUGGCUACUCCACUAGCUUCCCCGACUUUUACAGGAGCCGGAGGUAAAAUCUUCAAGGGUGGGGCCUGCUGCACGAUGUUGGCCCGCUUUGCGGUAGGGGCAUCCUUACUCUCGUCCCUCUUCGUGGUUGGAGGUCGAGAACGUUUUCGGGUCAGAGCCCCAAUCACAGCGUCCUCCAUCCUAUGGCCAGGAAGUAUCAAGCGAGACUCGAGCAAGUUGUAUGUGGUUAACAGUUCCCGGCUCGAGCAGGAAUUGACUAGCACAGCCUCAACCCGUUUGAGCUGGCCAGGUCGGAGUGGGAAAUGAACGCCCCAAGAAACUACAACACAAACAGACACUUGGUUAGAAACAAGCCAAUAAAACAAGAACAACUAUGGAUACAAGGCAUCUGGAGCGAGCAGGCAACCUGGGACCGUGAAACGGGGUGGGACCCGAUAAUCCUUCCCGUCCAUUUGUGCGACCUGACCCCAAGGACCCCCAGCAAAAAAGAACUUUCUCUUCCAAUUCCCACCACCACCAGUAGGGAGGUCGGUUAUAUGUUUCCUUGUCUUGGCGCUAGAUUGAAAGUAGUACCAGCUUGCAUCUUUGGGGCUGCUCUUUAGCUGGUACAGGUGCUUCACCUCAUCAACCGUGGGCUCGCUUUGGCAACAUCUGUCCCACAAUAUGAACAGACCAGAGAGCACUCUCCACCCAUUGGGAUUCAGCUGACCAGGAGCUAGAUUUAGCCCGUUAAGUAUCCGGGCAAAGUAAGGUUGCAAGGGACACCUCAGCCCGUACUUAAAGCUGUCCAGAUACAGGGUAACAUAUCCCCUAGGAGGCCGGCUGGGAGCAUCCUUCUUUCCCGGGACCUUGAGAGGUAUCUCGCCAGGAAUGCUAUACCUCAGCCGGAGGUCCUCGAGCUCAUCAAACGUGGUCGUGCACGUCAUGUAAUCAAUAGCGUAAUCCCGCGAUAGGGCUCUACCUCCUAUUGUACUCCUCCCCUCUGGUCGCGGCGCUCCUGAUGGGGACGCCUCACCAGAAUCAUCUCCUCGACCCUCACUCAGAGUAUCCUCGGAGCCAGAAGAUCCAUCCUCACCAUUACUCCCGCUCGUAGAGGUCGUUUGGGGAGACAUGCUCCUAGCACUAGUCCUGACACUAGACCUAAUAGGCUCUAAGGGGAUCUCGGGGUCAAAGGCGGGAUCGGUGAGCAGACUAGGCAGGAAGUCCAACUCGUCGUCAUCAACCUCAAUGACCUUCUCUUUACCUUUCGACAUUCCCUAAACUCUAACCACAACACCACCAACUACUACCCAAACGAAAGAAAAAAGAAGUUAUCUACAAACUAUCCGAGACCGAGGAGAGAGAAGUAAUACCUGAAGUACUGCUUCAAUCGGAGAAAGGCAAGGAUGGGGACUUCGUGCUGGAACUUCUUUGCCGGAGAAACAGAGACGGAGACGGAGACGGAGUGAAUGGUGAAUAUGCCGUUCGAGAGGAUUUGGCUUUCCAAAUGAGGACGGACUUUUGGGCUGCCAGCAUAUAACUGCACCGAAUCCCGAGGGCCUCAUAACCGUCAGUUUGAAAUUCAAAUGGAGGGGGGGAUUUCUGCCACGUCACCUUGUCCGCAAUUAAAUGCGACAUGACUCUUGGCAGCCUUUUCCAAUCCCACGCGAGCGAGUACUGUCGAGUUUCCACUGCUGGUCCACUACAUUACCCAACACCAGAAACUGGGGGACCGGUGUUUGGGAGAGGUACUGUUUGGGAUAAAUAUGUCGACGAGACCAGGAAUGACGAGCAGAUAUCGGAUGGCAGAGUUCUGCGAACCGGUGUGUUCCGUAAAAGCCUGGUGCGCGGAAGAACAGGAGCAGAAAUAUCCUGCUCGUCCACGAUGUUGUCAUCCGCGAGGCCAAUUUCCUAUAAGAGGCAUACGGCUAUUCCGGCUAGAGGUCGAUAGGCGAGGAGACCCGGUCGACGGCAGUUGGCAAGACAUGCUCUCCAGCCCGAGAAUCUAGGCAUGACAGCCACGCUUUCCCCUGAGCCGUGGCGUAACACGCAAGGUCUCACAGAACCACGACAGCCACGCUUUCCCCUGAACCGUGGCGUAACACGCAAGAUCUCACAGAACCACGACAGCCACGCUUUCCCCUGAACCAUGGCGUAACACGCAAGAUCCCACGUUUGCCCAUAACGCAGCAGUCAGAGCCCCAAACCGUCUCGAGAAAAGCGGAAAACGGGGAUUCAGAGGAAGCCUAUAAAAAGGUAGCCAACGAAGGUAAAAGGGUUGGCAUUUUUGAGAUAAAAGAAAAAAACCACGAAAAAGCCAUAAGACCCGUGGCAAACGUUCCCCGAACCUUGAUAUCUGACUUGAGCGUCGGAGGGUUUGCGCCGGGAGAACAACCGGCGUACUCUGACUUGUCUGUGUGUGCAGGGAUAUCUAGAGAAGAAGCAUUACUAGGAGACCUCCUGGUCGUGGGGAAGUUGAUCGAACAGAGAUCCUGGUCGUAUAACGAGGAGAACCGGAAUCUCGCAUCAACACGAUCUACACACACCACAUACAUUGGAACACGAUCUACACACAACACACCACACACUGAAACACAGACACAAAAAUAGUCAAGCAUACAUAAAGUUCACGCCCACACCCACCCAGGCACCCACAGCCCACUGUCGACCAGCAACGUAAUCGCCCACACCCACCCACAGGCCACAACCUCCCUCUCUCGCAUCCCACUACCGACGGCAACAAGCGGCAGUUACACAACCCACACCCACAACCAAACAAACAAAAUAUAGUCACAAUCACAAACAAUCAAACACACACAUGAAGUUCACGGAGCAAGCUAGAUUUGGCCACCAGACGUAGCAACCGUUGAGAGCCAACGCCAACCGAAGCUACUCCGCGAGGAUGGUAACCCGAUCUACCGAUCUACUGCUACCAAGUACCAGAUCUGCUGCCCCACCUCCACGCCUCCAAUCCUCCGCCAUCACCCGAUCCGAUUCAAGCUCCAUUUGGCUGUUGAGUUUUGAAAGCUUUGGGAUAAUUUGGAUUAGAUCAGAUCGGGUUAUAGAUUCGAAUUGAAUUCGAAUGAAUUCUUAUCUAACCCGACCAACCCGAAACCCGAUCGGGUUGAUCCAAACUCGAAUCAAACUCGAUUUUGCCCACCGCUAGCUAGUGGUUGCUAAAUUAACUUGCCAAUCUCCAAUAACUUCUAUUAAAAUGCAAUUACUGAUAAAAUGCCUACUUCUUGGUGCUAAUAUGUGAAUUUAAAAUUAUAUUUCACUUGUAUAAAUUUAUUGUUAAUUUCUUAUGGGUGGUUGAGGUCCUUGAGGAGAAUACGAUCCAUCUUGUCUUUGGCUCUUUUUUGAUUUAAUGGCAUACUACUACGGUACUACCUUCUUUGCUCUUGUCAAAUCCGAACUCAUCCAAAUUGAUUCGAAGCUGAACUUAUCUAAAUAUUUAUCCGAUCUGAGAUAAUUUGGAAAAGAAUAGAUUAUUUCAUAAAAUUUACUAUUUUAUUUAGAGUUUGUUCUUCUUUGGCAAUACGACUUAAAAAAAAUUAUUCAUUCCCUUUUCGGGAGGGGUUGGCUCCUUGAUCUUUAUUUUAUUAAGAAUAUCAUCUCCCUCCCUUGGAUUAGUAUUAGAACGUAUCCCUCAAAAGUUCGGCGUGAAAUUUGAAUGAGAUAAAUUCUUUCAAAUUCAAACUAGUAAUUUUAGCCAAACUAAAAAUCAAGAUCAAAUUUGAGGUUAAGAUUAAAAUCGGAUGAAUUUUUUUCUAAUUGAAAUCAUCCGAAAUCCGAUGGGAUUUGGAUCCAAAGUUACCAAAUCCUUCGCCGUAAUACAUUCGCAGAUCAUCUUUCGCCGAUCCAUGUAGUUUUGGGGUUAACAAGGGCACUGCUUUUUCUUUUAAAGUCAAUAGAUUUUUAGAUUUUUUUUUUUUGGGGUCUUAAGCUUAUCAACUGUUUACAAAAAAAAAAUAAAAAAUAAAAAACAGAAGAGGGGGAAAGAAAAAAGGCUAUGGGCAUCUCUUUUAUCUGUUUCUUUUAAUUAAUGCAUGUGGGCAUUAUUUAUGGUUGUAAGCUAAUGGUUAGAGUUUGAGCAUUAUCUAAUUGUCAGCCAUCGGCAAUCGGAUUAAAGUAAUGAGAUCAUCCAUGGGAUAAGGACGUUAUUGACCAAUCAAAAUGCAAUUACAGGCGCAAGACACCAAAUUACGAUAAUCUAAUCGAAUAUUGUCAGCCGGAAUCCGAGGGCGAGCCUUUGUUUUGAGAAAAUAAACAGGAAAUUAUCCCAUGGGCAUCCUUAAUACUGGGUUAGGCCCCUGAUAAUGAUAUUACGCUGUGGCCGUGCCCUUCUUACAGAUACAUCUAAUGAAAAGAAAUCUACUUUUUGUUGUGCUUUUUUUCAAAAGAGAUGCCCAUGGGAUAAUUUGGAAAAGAAUAGAUUAUUUCAUAAAAUUUACUAUUUUAUUUAGAGUUUGUUAUGAAUUUAUGAUAUAUUUCUAUGGGAUUUCAAUACAUUAAACAAAUAUCGAAGAGAAUUGUUUCCAAACUUAAGAUGGGUGGCUGCUUAAAAUAUGGUAAAUAAGGCAAGUGAUUGCAAGUUACAAUUGGAAUGGCAGAAAUGUACUACUCAGUGCAAUUGAUAUUUAUAUUAUUUGUAGGUCUAUAAUGUUGUGAUUAAAAUCACACCACCAAUAUCUUAAUUAAACAUAAAUUAUAUAAAUGGAACACGAGACUUUUAAAUAAAAGAUAAAACAAGCAAAUUAACAUAAGAGUGGUAAAUUUUGUAUUACUGAAAAAUAAAAUAAAAACUUAUACAUGUAACAUAAAAUUUGUAAAUCAAUAUUAAGUGCAAAAUAAACCAUAUAUUGUGAAAUGAAACAUAAACUUGUAAUUGUAAGGUAAAACAAGUAAAUCAAUAUAACGACAGUAAAUUGAUAUAUUAUUAGUAAAUAAAACAAAAACUUAUAAAUAUAACAUAAAACUUGUAAAUCAACAAUAAGUCUAAAAUAAAACAUAAAUUAUAUAAAUAGAACAUAAGACUUAUAAAUGAAAGGUAAAAUAAUUAAAUUAACAUAGAAGUGGUAAAUUGAUAUAUCAUUGGUAAAUAAAACAAAAAUUUAUCAAUAUAACACAAAACUUGUAAAUCAAUAUUAAGUUUAAAAUAAAACAUAAUUAAAUGUAUAAAACUUAAGAUUUGUAAAUAGAAUGUAAAAUAAGUAAAUUAACAAAGGAGUGGUAAAAUAAUGUACUAUUGGUAACAAAACAUAAACUUAUAGGUGUAAUAUAACACUUGUAAAUUAACAUUAAGUGUAACAUACAACAUAAAUUAAGUAAAUAAAACAUGAGAUUUGUAAAUAAAAAGUAAAAUAAGUAAACUAGCACAUGAUUAGUAAAAUGAUGCAUUAGUGGUAAACAAAAUAUAAACUUACAAAUGAAAUAACAUAUAAAUUAUGUUAAUGAAAUAUGAGAAUUGUAAAUGAAA